GAGCGCCGUAUGAGGUGAAAGUCUCAAGUACGGUGUGGAGCGGGGGAAAAGAUGGAAAGGGAAAAUACUCAAAUCUUACCUAUCGCUAU
rnacentral:ncRNA from 1 species